GAUGAACGCUAGCGACAGGCCUAACACAUGCAAGUCGAGGGGCAGCACGGUGUAGCAAUACACGGGUGGCGACCGGCGCACGGGUGAGUAACGCGUAUGCAACCUGCCUACUACAAGGGGAUAACCCGUUGCAAGACGGACUAAUACCCUAUAACACAGGGAAUCCGCAUGGAUAUAUUUGUUAAAGAUUUAUCGGUAGUAGAUGGGCAUGCGUUCCAUUAGCUUGUUGGUGAGGUAACGGCUCACCAAGGAAACGAUGGAUAGGGGAACUGAAAGGUUGAUCCCCCACACUGGAACUGAGACACGGUCCAGACUCCUACGGGAGGCAGCAGUGAGGAAUAUUGGUCAAUGGACGAGAGUCUGAACCAGCCAAGUCGCGUGAAGGAAGACGGCCCUACGGGUUGUAAACUUCUUUUGUAAGGGAAUAAAUAGUCUUACGCGCUAAGACGUUGCAGGUACCUUACGAAUAAGGAUCGGCUAACUCCGUGCCAGCCGCCGCGGUAAAAC
rnacentral:rRNA from 1 species